rnacentral:rRNA from 1 species
CAGGUUUACCUGUGUGACUGCGUACCUUUUGUAUAAUGGGUCAGCGACUUAUAUUCUGUAGCAAGGUUAACCGAAUAGGGGAGCCGGAGGGAAACCGAGUCUUAAUUGGGCGUUAAGUUGCAGGGUAUAGACCCGAAACCCGGUGAUCUAGCCAUGGGCAGGUUGAAGGUUGGGUAACACUAACUGGAGGACCGAACCGACUAAUGUUGAAAAAUUAGCGGAUGACCUGUGGCUGGGGGUGAAAGGCCAAUCAAACCGGGAGAUAGCUGGUUCUCCCCGAAAGCUAUUUAGGUAGCGCCUCGUGAACUCAUCUCCGGGGGUAGAGCACUGUUUCGGCUAGGGGGCCAUCCCGGCUUACCAACCCGAUGCAAACUGCGAAUACCGGAGAAUGUUAUCACGGGAGACACACGGCGGGUGCUAACGUCCGUCGUGAAGAGGGAAACAACCCAGACCGCCAGCUAAGGUCCCAAAGUCAUGGUUAAGUGGGAAACGAUGUGGGAAGGCCCAGACAGCCAGGAUGUUGGCUUAGAAGCAGCCAUCAUUUAAAGAAAGCGUAAUAGCUCACUGGUCGAGUCGGCCUGCGCGGAAGAUGUAACGGGGCUAAACCAU